rnacentral:lncRNA from 1 species
GGAGCAUGUGUACUGAAGAAAUAUACAACAUGGGGUUUCUUUUAAAUUGAAGAAGCUAUAAGAGAGUGAAGAGGCUAGUGGCAUGAAGUAAUGAUAGGUUUUUUAGAGGAAGCCAUAUCUAAAAUACUAUGAAUCUGAGAAGCUUUGUGUGUGAGUGUGCUGUGUUAUCUAGAGUUAGAUUAUGAUUUGGUUCGUGGAGAGAGAGAGAAAGAAGGGGUGUGAAAUAUAUGGAAGGUGGGCUAUACUUUUCUUGUAGGUGAGGUAAAAUUUUGGGGUCCAAAGUCGAUUUUGUAGUGGAAAGUGGAAUGCAUGUGCUGACAAGCAGGAAGAAUGCACCAGUAUCAAAGGCAACUCAGCUUUCCCUAUCUCAAAUUUAAUAAAAGAUAUGUAUUUCCUUAAGUGGGUCUCUAUCUUUUAUGCAAACUACUGAAUGGAAUUAAAGUACUAACAUAAGGACUAAAAUAUCUCAAUUUCCUAUUAAAUACACAACAAAUUUUUAUUUUUCUGAACUAUAAACAUGAAGAGAAUUUAAUGUACAUUGAACAAUGCCAUAUAGUUGCAUAACAAUUCAAAUAAUGUCCUUCAUUGGCGCGAUUUAUGUUGGAAUUAAAACUGAUAAACAAAUUGGUCCUUACAUGAGAUGAAAUUAACUACAUUUGUCAUAUUACCAUUGAUUGCUUGUAUUUUUUAAUAUAUUUUUUGGCAUUAAAUCAACGAGAAAUAAAUCCACAACCCGUUCAUAUGAGUAAAGUUUUAAACUCAAUUUUUUAAAGAUUUUAUCUGUGUUGGACAACAUCAAGUAAAUCUUUAUGUGGGCUUGUCAAGUAAAUUAUACAAGGUGAACUAAAUUUAGGCUUAUACCUAAACACAAAUUAAAUUUAUAUAAGGUAAAUCGGGCUGCCUAUAUCACUUGUCUCGAGUCUACGUGAUAAGCCCAAACAAGCAUUGUACAUAUUACAUAAGAGAAAAUAUUAGACCAGUUUGAAUACAAAUGUUUAAGAUCUUUAGGCCGAUGCUUUUUUCAAAUUUAAAAUAUUUUUUUCUUUGACUUCUUCAAGUUAAAUGUUUUAAGCUGCGUUAACUCAAUAUUUUUUUCAAGCUUAGAUGAUAGUAUCUAUUGCCCACGGUCCCACACACCGAGAAAUAAAUCCACAACCCAUUCAUGUGAAUAAAGUGUUGUAAACUCAAAUUUUUUGUACUCACUAUAAGAGAUUUUAUCAGCGUUGGACAAUAUCAAGUAAACCUUUAUGUGAAAUUGGACUUGUUAAGUAAAUUUAUAUAAGGUGAACUAAAUUUAGAAUUAUACCUAAACACAAAUUAAAUUAAUAUAAGAUAAAUUUGGCUAUCUAUAUCACGUAUAUCGAGUCUACGCGAUAAGCACAACAAACAUUGUACAUAUUACAGAAGAGAAAUUAUUAGACAAGUUUGAACACGUUGUUUAAUUAAAACUAAUAUUGCACUGCUGAUGCAAAACAACUCAAAAAUGGACGAGGAGAUCAAGGAAGAUCUUGAAUUUGAAAAGAUUUUAGGAGCAUGUGUACUGAAGAAAUAUACAACAUGGGGUUUCUUUUAAAUUGAAGAAGCUAUAAGAGAGUGAAGAGGCUAGUGGCAUGAAGUAAUGAUAGGUUUUUUAGAGGAAGCCAUAUCUAAAAUACUAUGAAUCUGAGAAGCUUUGUGUGUGAGUGUGCUGUGUUAUCUAGAGUUAGAUUAUGAUUUGGUUCGUGGAGAGAGAGAGAAAGAAGGGGUGUGAAAUAUAUGGAAGGUGGGCUAUACUUUUCUUGUAGGUGAGGUAAAAUUUUGGGGUCCAAAGUCGAUUUUGU